rnacentral:tRNA from 1 species
CAGGGAGACAACACAAUGAUUUUGAUGCCUGAGUGCUUUUAUUCUUAGGCCGAAAUCCUGUCACCUUAGGUCGAUCGGUACCUCAGCUUUGAAGUCAAGGAUCAGCAGCAAUGUUGAUUGCUUGAUGGAGAUUUUCAGUUCCUAAACUUUGUCUAGGUCACACCCCAAAAGGGAUGAGACUCCUGGGCCAUUAGCUCAGGUGGUUAGAGCGCACCCCUGGUAAGGGUGAGGUCCCUGGUUCAAGUCCAGGAUGGCCCAUUCGGUGUUGGGGGUUUAGCUCAGUUGGUAGAGCGCCUGCUUUGCAAGCAGGAUGUCAGGAGUUCGAGUCUCCUAACCUCCACUGACCGAACUUGAUUCCCAUCUCCAAUUUUUUGGAGUUGAGCUCGAUUGGAGUGUGACUUAGAUGUGUCCGCUGGAUGACCCCAGCUUCCUGUCAUUCCAAGUUUUAGGUUGAUACCUUGAAUUUGGUUGAUAAGAUGCUGGGCUCGGAUCAAAUGAUCAAGCAAUUGAUGAUUUGAUUUGAAGUUCUAGCAGAACCUUGACAACUGCAUAGGUGAGUCUGGAAAAAACAAAGCAUCUUACAGAUGCAUUGUUUUGAAUCUGAUCUUCUGAAAGGGAGAUUGGAUCUAGAACAAUGAAAAUUCUUUUGAGCAAGAGCCGAGACUCUUGAACGUUCUUUGAUUGGUGUCGAGCCAAUCAGAGUUUGAUCUUGUUUUUAGCAAUAAAAACUUGAGAAUCUGCUUUCAACGGCGGUAAGCGUUCAAGAGGUUAAUU